rnacentral:tRNA from 1 species
GCAUUUGUGGCGUAGUGGUCAGCACCCUCGACUCGUAUUUGAGAGGUCCGUGGUUCGAGACCCAGCGAGAGCA